rnacentral:rRNA from 1 species
CCUACGGGGUGCAGCAGUGAGGAAUAUUGGUCAAUGGGCGCGAGCCUGAACCAGCCAAGUAGCGUGAAGGAUGACUGCCCUACGGGUUGUAAACUUCUUUUAUAAAGGAAUAAAGUGAGGCACGUGUGCCUUGUUGUAUGUACUUUAUGAAUAAGGAUCGGCUAACUCCGUGCCAGCAGCCGCGGUAAUCCGGAGGAUCCGAGCGUUGUCCGGAUUUAUUGGGUUUAAGGGGAGCGUAGAUGGGUUGUUACGUCAGUUGUUCAAGUUUGCGGCUCAACCGUAAAAUUGCAAUUGAUACUGGCAGCAUUGAGUACAGUUGACGUAGGCGGAAUUCGUGGUGUAGCGGUGAAAUGCUUAGAUAUCACGAAGAACUCCGAUUGCGAAGGCAGCCUACUAAACUGCCACUGACAUUGAUGCUCGAAAGUGUGGGUAUCAAACAGGAUUAGAUACCCUUGUAGUC